AGGUUGAACGCUGGCGGCAGGCCUAACACAUGCAAGUCGAGCGGUAGAGAGGUGCUUGCACCUCUUGAGAGCGGCGGACGGGUGAGUAAAGCCUAGGAAUCUGCCUGGUAGUGGGGGAUAACGCUCGGAAACGGACGCUAAUACCGCAUACGUCCUACGGGAGAAAGCAGGGGACCUUCGGGCCUUGCGCUAUCAGAUGAGCCUAGGUCGGAUUAGCUAGUUGGUGAGGUAAUGGCUCACCAAGGCGACGAUCCGUAACUGGUCUGAGAGGAUGAUCAGUCACACUGGAACUGAGACACGGUCCAGACUCCUACGGGAGCAGCAGUGGGGAAUAGUAGGACAAGUGGGACGAAAGCCUGAUCCAGCCAUGCCGCGUGUGAGAAGAAGUCUUCGGAUUUAGUAAAGCUAAGUUUAAGUGGAGGAAGGCAAUUAACCUAAGUACGUUAGUUGUUUAGACGUUACGACAGAAUAGACACCGG
rnacentral:rRNA from 1 species